UACUAUUACAACAGUGUAACUCGAGAAAGCCGGUGGGAGAAACCAGAGGAGUUGACAUUACUUGAACAACCACAGCAGCAGCAACUGCAACAGAAACCUCCAAUUCAACAGCCUCAAACCCAAUCAAAUCCUCAAGUUCUGCCCACCCAGCAAGUGCCACAAGCACAACAGAUGUCACUUCAAGCUCAGUUCCAAACUCAGUUUCGCCACCAGCAGCAGCUGCAACAGCCUUCCUUUCCAUCAUCG
rnacentral:misc_RNA from 1 species